GGGCUGGCCCCGUGGCCGAGUGGUUAAGUUCACGCGCUCUGCUGCAGGCGGCCCAGUGUUUCGUUGGUUCGAAUCCUGAGCGCGGACAUGGCACUGCUCGUUAAACCAUGCUGAGGCAGCGUCCCACAUGCCACAACUAGAAGGACCCACAACAAAGAAUAUACAACUAUGUACUGGGGGGCUUUGGGGAGAAAAAGGAAAAAAUAAAAUCUUUAAAAAAAAAAACUGCACCAUUUGGAAGCAGAUAUAUAGGGCGAAUGGGCUGGAAAAGGGGGUCUCAGAAUGUUGAGCAUCUGGUGGCGUAGCCGUGGAGACUCCAGACCAUCCCUUUCUCUUGUCAACAGUGAUGGAUGCCAGCAGAGGGCUCUUUCCCUGGAGGUCAUUACAUCCCUGGGAAAACUUAAUGAACAAAGUUAUCGUCUUUUCAGAAUAAGGAGGUCUAUGUAUAAGCUAAGGCUACGAAAAUGCAAAGCAUACGUAUUUCUCACUAACAGCUAUUGCCAAGAGAAGAUGAAGCGGCACAUGGAGUUUGUGCAGAGGUGGGGGGCAGGCAAUGACUGAUCGUCCAAGGCAACACGGGGUGAGGCAAGUGCUUUCCUCCAACCCAGCUCCUCGCUUGUAUCUCCUCAACGCCCUCACCCCGCUGCACCCCAGGCUCUCUAUUAGUUCUCGGAUUCCUGUGGUUUCUUCAGGGGAUGAUUCAGGAACAGGCAGCCAUCUUGGCAGGAAGUUGCAAGCCUCACACCUGUGCCGCCGACCUUCAACCUUGAUGGUGCACUUCACUUCCUGUGCAGACCCAUCUUAGGAUGCCCUCCGAGAACAGUCUGGCUGUGCUGUCCAUACGCAGAUUUCAGUCACACAAACUCCCCAGGAGCACGUGGCCUCCCUCCCAGCACCCGCUCCUGGAUCCCAAAGGCCUCCAGAGGGACCCAUCCUCCCAGUUUACGGACAUGAAAACUGAGAGCAGCGAGGAAUCUCAGUGCUCACCCUGCCAGGAGGGUCCACAAGCAGAGGGAGGCUCCAGUGUGUGGUGAUAACUCUUGUUUUGUGUCUCAGGAGAGAGAAGCCAGCAGUGUGCUGUCCAGCGUCCAGCCUCGGGUGCAGCGGCUGCCCUAUUCCCCUGGGGGCCCAGCUGCUGCUCAGAGCAGACCCCCAGUCCCUUCCCUCCAAGCACCCGGCCCCUCCCAGGAGCCGAGGCCGUGGAAACAGCACCCCC
rnacentral:lncRNA from 1 species